UACGUAGGGACCAAGCGUUGUUCGGAGUUACUGGGCGUAAAGCGCGCGUAGGCGGGCUGUUAAGUGAGAGGUGAAAGGCUGGGGCUUAACCCCAUGCAGUGCCUCUCAUACUGGCGGUCUUGAGUGCGGCAGGGAGAAGUGGAAUGGCUGGUGUAGCGGUGAAAUGCGUAGAUAUCGGGAGGAACACCAGUGGCGAAGGCGGCUUUCUGGCCCGUUCUUGACGCUGAGGCGCGAAAGCUAGGGUAGCAAACGGG
rnacentral:rRNA from 1 species